UUGGUGUUUCCUCGACAAUUGAUAAGAAAUGUUAUUCUCGGUAUUAAUUUUGUACCUUUUAUAUAUCGUCCAAAAUUGCAUGCUGAUUUUAUUUGUUUUUCAUUUGUAUUAUAGUGUAGGCUGUUAGCUGUCUCAUUGACAUUUAGUACACGUCUUCCUCCUUCGACUUAGAAAUGAACUAUAGACAGUUGAUCCAUGAAUCCAUAAAAAAACACAACUACAUCGUUUAAAUACUCAUUCAUCGUCGUUCCUAUGACAGAAAUGUUUGUACAGAAAGUUAUAUUCAAAUGU
rnacentral:lncRNA from 1 species